AUUGAACGCUGGCGGCAGGCCUAACACAUGCAAGUCGAGCGGAUGAAGGGAGCUUGCUCCUGGAUUCAGCGGCGGACGGGUGAGUAAUGCCUAGGAAUCUGCCUGGUAGUGGGGGAUAACGUCCGGAAACGGGCGCUAAUACCGCAUACGUCCUGAGGGAGAAAGUGGGGGAUCUUCGGACCUCACGCUACCAGAUGAGCCUAGGUCGGAUUAGCUAGUUGGUGGGGUAAAGGCCUACCAAGGCGACGAUCCGUAACUGGUCUGAGAGGAUGAUCAGUCACACUGGAACUGAGACACGGUCCAGGCUCCUACGGGAGGCAGCAGUGGGGAAUAUUGGACAAUGGGCGAAAGCCUGAUCCAGCCAUGCCGCGUGUGUGAAGAAGGUCUUCGGAUUGUAAAGCACUUUAAGUUGGGAGGAAGGGCAGUAAGUUAAUACCUUGCUGUUUUGACGUUACCAACAGAAUAAGCACCGGCUAACUUCGUG
rnacentral:rRNA from 1 species